rnacentral:rRNA from 1 species
AACGAACGCUGGCGGCAUGCCUAACACAUGCAAGUCGAACGAGACCUUCGGGUCUAGUGGCGCACGGGUGCGUAACGCCUGGGAACCUACCCUUAGGUUCGCAACAAUUCCCCGUAAGAGGUGCUAAUACCGGAUAAUGUCUUCCGACCAAAGAUUUAUCGCCUUUGGAUGGGCGCGCGUUGGAUUAGCUGGUUGGUAGGGUAAAAGCAUACCAAGGCGACGAUCCAUAGCUGGUCUGAGAGGAUGAUCAGCCACACUGGGACUGAGACACGGCCCAGACUCCUACGGGAGGCAGCAGUGGGGAAUAUUGGAGAAUGGGCGAAAGCCUGAUACAGCAAUGCCGCGUGAGUGAUGAAGGCCUUAGGGUUGUAAAGCUCUUUUACACGGGAUGAUAAUGACAGUACCGGGAGAAUAAGCUCCGGCUAACUACGUG